UUGGAGCAUUCCCUUGUAUGCAGUUCGGGAGUUUGGUGUUCUGCAGUAACUGUGCCUGUAUCUCUGGAAGGGGAAGAUCUUCUAAACGGCGGUUUAACCCUUUUAUGCAUGGGGGUGCUGUUACACAUGGUGACCACAGGUAACAGGGAAUCAGGGUUCGAUUCCUGAGAGGGAGCCUGAGAAACGGCUACCAUAUGCAAGGAAGGCAGCGGGUGCGCAAGUGACCCACUCCCGACGCGGCAUGGUAGUGACGA